UUUUCCUACGGGGGGCAGCAGUGGGGGAUAUUGCACAAUGGGGGGAACCCUGAUGCAGCGACGCCGCGUGGGUGAAGAAGCGCCUCGGCGCGUAAAGCCCUGUCAGCAGGGAAGAAAAUGACGGUACCUGAAGAAGAAGCCCCGGCUAACUACGUGCCAGCAGCCGCGGUAAUACGUAGGUGGCAAGCGUUGUCCGGAAUUACUGGGUGUAAAGGGAGCGCAGGCGGGAAGCCAAGUCAGCUGUGAAAACUACGGGCUUAACUUGGAGACUGCAGUUGAAACUGGUUUUCUUGAGUGAAGUAGAG
rnacentral:rRNA from 1 species